GUCCCUGUAGCGCAAUGGGUAGCGCGUUGAACUUCUAUUUCAAAGGUCGCGGGUUCGAAUCCCACCUGGGAUG
rnacentral:tRNA from 1 species